GACAAAGGGGGAAGAGGGGAAGAGCAAGAGAGUGAGGAGGGGCAAGCAGCCCCUUUUACAGUGUCAGGUAAACCUGGCUAUUGCCAGGUAACUGUGGGGGUGGGGCUUAGACAGAAUGCUAACCCCUUUAUCUUAAGGGAAUAAGGCAGAGAGCAAAUGAGGAAGUCACCUGACAUCCCCAUCUGGCCUCUGUGCACCCAUAAAAGCAUGUGCCUACACACACACACACACACACACAGGCACACCCAUCUACACAUCCACAUACACAAAAGACUGUUACAGACUAUCUUGAGCUAUUUUUAGUCCUUUUGAAGGCCAUGUCUGACCCAGGAUGUAUUCUUAACAGAUCACUAGUUUCCAACAAUCCAGAAGUUAAGACUUUAUCAGAGCACGCCUGAGACCUAUAACAAAGGCUUCCCUGCCUUGGUGUCCUACCUACCUGUUGUCUCCAUCAGUGUAUUUGGUAACUGCCUUGACUUAUGACUUUGUUCCACCACUAAUAAAAAUCAUGUAACCUUUUGCAAUGGGAUCCAUCUUUCUUGUCUACUUGGAUUAAUGUGCCUGUGGAAUUAAUGUGGUCUGUGGUCACUCAUAUUUGGUUCCACAAUAAACUAUCCCAUUUGAGGCAGAACCGUGUUUUGUAUCAACAUCAGGAGAAUGGAGUGAGCGGUUUCUCCAUGCCGCUCUUAGGGACUAAGAGUGGACAUCUAGAAGAAGUCUGUUUAUGACUCCAAAUAGCCAAGGACAUAUAUCUGUAGAGAAAGUCACACGGCAGACAUAAAAGGAACUCCAGAGAUCUGAUCAGAUCAGAUGUGGGCAGGGAGUGAUAUUCAAAGAGAGGGCUAGUCUGGAGCUUAGGGGUAGAGCCAUGCUCAUUCCCUGGCACGCAAAACCAAAUACAAAACAAAGAGUCUUAGAAGGGCAGGGACGCAGCUCAGUGGAUGAAGACACUUGCUGCCAGCACUGAUGACCUAGAUUCAACCCCAAGGUCCCACAGGGUAGAAGGAUGCUGAGAAAAGGACCUGUAGGACUUAUACCUGUUUCUUAUAUUCAAAACAAAGUCAACCCAGGAUAUGAAUGGGAGCCCAGGGCUGACCUGCAGCCAGAGUUAAAAACACAGCAACAACACCCACAUCACCCACAUCAUACUCACACCCCCAUCUCACACUAGCGAUCGAACCCAAACCUGUGAGCUGCCUACAACUGCUCUGGGAUUUUGCUGGGCAGAGCUGGACCUGUCUUCAUGCCUAUAGUUCCUUAGUCAGUGGCUCUCAACCUGUGGGUCUCCACCCCUUUGGGGGUUGCAUAUUCGAUAGAUAACCUGCAUAUCAGAUAUUUACAUUAUGAUUCACAACAGUAGCAAAAUUACAGUUAUGAAGUAUCAACGAAAUAACUUUAUGAUUGGAGGUCACCACAACAUAAGAAACUGUAUUAAAGGGUCACAGCAUUGGGCAGGUUGAAAACCACUGCCUUAGGUGUAGAGAGGACCUAAGUGGGAGCCUUUUGGAGGUCUCUUCACUUGGUAGCUGCCUUUCUUCAGGAAGCUCCUCUCCUCUGGCUUGGGAAGAGCGCCAUCUUCUCUCUAGAUGUCCUAGAAGUUUAUCCUGGGUGUAAGCUCCCAUCCGUGUCUCUGGGUCUGAACACAUCUCCAGCAAAUUGCAAUAGCACUGGGCAACAGCCACUCUUGCCUCAGGGGCACACAAUGAACCCAUUUGUUUCCUGGCUGACAAGUCUGUGCUUUGGUGGGGGCCCCCUCUGGAUUGAGGGCAGGUCCAUGCAGGUCUGCCUUGAAGUCUUCUUGAGUCUAGGCCCAGACGAGAAGAACACUGAUAAAUGUCAUCAGCGACAGUGAGUUGGCCAAGCUUCCUUGGCAUCCUCAAAGCCUCACCUCCUGUCACUAAUGGGACAUUGGUCAACAGCAGCCAUGGACUGAACAGAGGAAGAUAUUCUGGCUGAACUAGUGCAAGGCUUGGAAAAGGAUCAUGGAAGCAUGGGUCCAAAACAUGUGGGAGUGGAAGAUUGGGGUUGGAGCAUGUCAUUUCAAUGACAGCAGAAAUCAUUGUAAAUAAUGUGUUAUCAGAAUAGGGGCUACAGUUACAUUCAUAAAAUGUGGUACAUGGCCAUAUAAUUGUCCCAUUAUGUCUAAUUAUUCAUAAUUCAUAAGUAUGUCUAAUUUGUUAUAAAUAAUUUCACGAAGCGAUGAAAUGGUAGCUAACAUUUAUUGAGUAUUCUGUGUUAGGCACUUUAAAAACAUACUUGGAAUAAAUGAACUCACUUAAGACAGCACCCCUGAGAGGGAGAUAGUAUUACAAUCUACAUUUCACAGAUGAGCCAACCAAAACACAAUGGGUAAAAGGGAAAACAGAUCACACAGUAGAUGACACAGGACAUCAGUGGUAAACAGAAAAGAACAUUGUGCGUUUUCAGUUUCCCUUUUGUAUUCCCCUCCUCCUCUCCCUCCUCCUCCUCCCCCCUCCCCCUCCCCCUUCUCCUCUUCCUCCUCCUCCCCCUCUCCUCCCCCUCCUCUUCUUCCUCCUCCUUCCCCCUCUUCUUCCUCCUCUUCCUCCUCCUCCUUUUCUUUCUCCUCCUCCCCCUCCUCCUCCUCUUCCUCCUCCUCCUUUUCUUUCUCCUCCUCCCCCCUCCUCCUCCUCUUCCUCCUCCACUUCCUCCUCCUCCUCCUCCUCCUCCUCCUCCUCUUCCUCCUGUCGGGUCCCCCAUCCCACUCCCCCCCCUACGCCCAGCUAUGCCCCUCACGCUGUGCUCUGUCUAAUCACCCAAGCCAGAUCUCCUUCAGAGGAGCUGAGGCCCCUCACUCUGGCCAUGGCUCACUUACCCAUCACUGACAGCUACUGUCUGCCUGCUUCUCACCCUCUGCCCUUACUCAACUCAGGACUCUGACGCUUCUUUUCCCAAGAUCUGCUGUUGGUUACCUGCUGUGGAAUUUUGGUUAAGUCACUCUCUUAUGUAAAAAAUAAAUAAAUAAAAAAUAAAAAAUAAAAAAUAAAAAACAAACAAACAAACAAAAAAACUACGAUCCUGGUGCUCUGAAGACAGAGUCGUCUGGUUUUCCAGACCCUUUGUUUUCUGACAAGAAAAUGCGAGUGUUUAUCUGUGCAUACUGUGCUCGGCUGCGGCUCCUUGUGCUACCUGGGGAUGCAUGGAAUCCCAGGCUCCAUUACCUUUACAGAAUUUUCAGCUUUUCUAUCUAUUUUCUUUUUCCUCGAGCUGUCCCUCAUGGCUUUCCUAUUUUCCAGAAUCACCUAGACGAGUGGUUCUCCCCUUUCUAAUGUUGUGACCCUUUAAUAUAGUUCCUCAUGUUGUGGUGACCUCGUUAUUUUGUUGCCAGUUCACAACUGUGAUUUUGCUACUGUUAUGAAUCGUAAUGUAAAUAUCUGUAUUUUCUGAUGGUUUUAGGCAACCCCUGUGAAAUAUCUCCAAAGGGGCCGCGACCCACAGGUUGAGAUUUCUGAGCUAGAUAUUCUGUUUAAAACACAGGCUCUCAGGACCUAUUCUAGUCCAGUUAGUACAAUCUUUGUAGAGGAGAACCUAAAAGUCUGAAUUUCGUCUCAAGAUGGUUCUAACUUAUGCCUAGUUUAGGAAGUACCACACUAGACAGGGCAGUGAUAUUUCUUUCACUGAGGACAGUGGCUGGCACUUCACCAACUCAUUUGACUGCAUUCAGAAUGAAUGGCUGAAAUGAGCUGCCCCGCCCCCAUCCUACUCACGUGGCGGUGCCCUGCCAAUGAACAUUCAGUUGCUAAGAUUCCACCUACCGGCAGGUGGCGCUGAGUCGACGUAAAUGCCAUCCCGGGAAAUGUUUUACUGGAAAUUCCAGCCUCCAACGCAGCUCGAUUGAAUUAUAUUUUUUCGUACUUACUUUAUCUGUGACUCUCACUUGCAUGUAUAAAUUGGUUUCUGGAGGCGUGCUUUGAAUGAGAGAAGCCAGGGAAAGCAACCUGACAAGGCCUGGGAGGCUAAGGAAUUUCCAUCUGAGUCAUCAAGUAAUGAAGGUCUGUCACGUUCAGAGAAAAAAGUUUGUGCUGCCUGUAUACUUGUUGAAGCAUUAUCAAGCUCCCAGUGACCAGCCCCUUAAAGAAAACUGAGUCCUUCCCCACUCUCCACCCCCCACCCCCCACCCUCACCCCCCACCCCCAACCCUGCAUCUGUAACACUUCAUCACAGUCUUUAAGGAUUCUCUUCAACAGCUUCCAGUCUAGACUGAUUUUUUUGUUUGUUUGUUUGUUUUAGGAGGGAUGGAGGGGGUUGUCACAGAAGCCUUCAUUGUCUCUCAUUCUUGGUUCUCAAUCUACAGUCAUUGAUACCACUGUGAAAGACCCCAGCUUAGCAACAGUAACGCCAUUUUGUAAGGCUGUACUUAAGAUGACUGGUUCAGGAAAAGGUUAGAACUCUGAGUACACAGCGGCUGCCAAACAAGAUGUGUUUGGUUGAAGGCCUGGCAACAGGAGGACUGCCGUUGAGCACCUGACAAUGAAAAAAGCCCCGGGAGAGGUCCCACACCCUGGUGGGGGGCCGAGUCAGUUGUUAUGUUUCAAGAAGGUAGCUUGGAAACUUGCCCCCAGGCUAAACUCUUGGGGGGCCGAGUCAGUUGUUAUGUUUCAAGAAGGUAGCUAGGAAACUUGCCCCCGGGCUAAACUCUUGGGGGGCCGAGUCAGCCGUUAUGUUUCAGGAAGGUAGCUAGGAAACUUGCCCCCGGGCUGAACCCUUUGGGGGCCGAGUCAGCCGUUAUGUUUCAGGAAGGUAGCUAAGAAACAUUAGAAUCCACCAAUGAUAUCCCUGUAACCAUGCAUCUGCUUCUGUAUGCUUGCUUCUGCUCCCCAAAAUCCUAUAAAAAAGCCCAUCCUUGGUUCUGUGGGGCGCGCCAGUCCCCCGAGUGACUGAAGCGCCCACAGGUGCCUGUGCCUGUGUAUCCCGACAAUAAACCAAAUCCUCUUGCUGAUUGCAUCCUGUGGUGUCUCGGUCUGGUCUUUGGAGUUAGAGGAUCUCCAUCCCGAGGGAAAGUUCUCCCUGAGAGCUUUUCAUUUGGUGCGUUGGCCGGGAAAGGAGAUCCUCCACCCAGGGACCACCGACCACCCACUGGGAGGUAAGCCGGCCGGCGUCUGUUUGUCUGUCUGUCUGAUUUUGUCUCGUUCUGCCUUAUUCUGUCUGUUCUGUGAGCACUCAGCCAGGUCUGUUCUGUGAGCGCUCAGCCAGGUCUGUUCUGUGAGCGCUCAGCCAGGUCUGUUCUGUGAGCGCUCAGCCAGGUUCUGUGAGCGCUCAGCCAGGUCUGUUCUGUGAGCGCUCAGCCAGGUUGUUUGGAAUUUGGGCGGGACGAAGAAGGAGCUGACGAGCUUGGACUUCUCGCCCCGCAGCCCUGGAAGACGUUCCAAGGGUGUUGGGGCCCGACUUUUCGGGGCCCAAUCUGGGAGAGGAGAAAGAUCCGGACUAACGGCACUCUGUCUGUAUUUUUGGCUUUCAGAGGGCCCCGGACCUUUGCCACCUCCAUCUGACUUUUUGCUUUCAGUUUGGUACCAAAGCCGUGCAGCACGCCUGUCUGUUGUUUGUUUGACUGUUGGUGUUGUUUGUUUUCUCUGUGUUCUAAUCUUCCUUAGAACUAACAUGGGACAGUCCCUAACAACGCCCCUAAGUCUCACUCUUGAUCAUUAGAAAGACGUCCACGACCGGACACACAACCAGUCCGUCGAGGUUAAAAAAAAAGGAAAAUGACAGACUCUCUACACAUCCGAGUGGCCCACUUUCGGAGCAGGAUGGCCAGUGAAUGACACAUUUAACAGGUUAAAGAUCGGGUCGUCCACGGACAUCCUGACCAGGUUUCUUAUAUUAUCACUUGAGAGAGUCUCGCCUUAAACCCCCCCUCCUGGGCGGAACCCUUCGUGGACCCGAAUUGGCCUCCCCUCAACCCCCAGCCUGUCCCCUCGGCCCCGCCCGGUCCGCCGGCCACGUCUUCCUCCCUCUACCUUUGUGAAAUCAGAGCCUUCUAAGAAACCUGUCCUCCCGGCAGACCCAAACUCCCCUCUCAUAAAUCUUCUCUCUGACAGGCCCGGCUGAAACGGAGGAGGCAGAGCCGCCGGCCAGAUCAGUUGCCGGGCCACAGUCUGAUAAGGGUUUCUCCCCUGUCGCAGGGAGAUUGCGCAAUAAGCGCGAGGUGAUGCCAGAUUCAACCUCCCAGGCUUUCCCACUUAGACAGGGAACCGGUGGCCAGACCCAAUACUGGCCGUUUUCAACAGCUGACAUUUACAAUUAGAAACAACACAACCCUUCUUUCUCCAAAGAUCCGGUGGCACUCACCGACCUAAUAGAAUCUGUUUUACUUACCCACCAGCCUACUUGGGAUGACUGCCAACAGCUCUUACAGGCCCUCUUAACCUCAGAAAAAAAACAAAGAGUGUUCCUAGAGGCCAGAAAGCAUGUUCUGGGAGAUGAUGGGCGUCCCACCCAGCUGCCUGAGGACCAAACUGGGAUUUUAAUACAGCUGAAGGUAAGGGACACCUACGCCUUUAUCGCCAGUUGCUUCUAGCGGGUCUCUGAGGGGCUAUACGACGCCCUACUAAUUUGGCUCAGGUAAAACAGGUAUUACAGGAAGCAGGGGAAACUCCCUCCGCCUUUCUAGAGAGACUUAAGGAGGCCUACCGUAUGUAUACUCCCUAUGACCCAGAUGACCCAGGACAAAUGACGAGUGUCUCUAUGUCCUUCAUCUGGCAGGCUGCUCCAGAUAUCAAGACUAAGUUACAGAGGUUAGAAAAUUUGCAGGGCUAUACAUUACAGGAUUUACUUAAAGAAGCUGAAAAGAUUUUUAAUAAGAGAGAAAAUUGAGUCGAAUCUUGGCCGCCGUAGUUCAGGGCCAAGAAAAGAAGGGAGAUAGGGGGGAGCUCGAAAGGGGCUGAAGCUGGAUAAAGAUCAAUGUGCCUAUUACAAAGAGAAAGGGCACCGGGCCAGAGAGUGCCCCAAGAAGCCUGGCGGACCCCGAAAGCCUCGACCACGAACCUCCCUCUUGGCUCUAGAUAAAGAUUAGGGAGGUCAGGGCCAGGAGCCCCCCCCGAGCCCAGGGUAACGCUUAAAGUUGGGGGGCAGCCGGUUACUUUCCUGGUAGACACAGGAGCCCAGCAUUCAGUCCUCACCCAAGCUUCAGGACAACUCAGCGACCGGACGGCCUGGGUACAAAGAGCUACUGGUGAGAAACAAUACCGAUGGACUACGGACCGCCGGGUUCAGCUGGCUACUGGUAAGGUGACCCAUUCCUUCUUACAUGUUCCGGACUGCCCGUACCCUCUGCUGGGCCGUGACCUGCUCACCAAGCUAAAAGCACAAAUUCAUUUUGAAGAAGGAGGGGCCCAAAUAAUUGGCCCCCACGGAACUCCCCUUCAAGUUCUAACCCUAUGAACUGGGACAGGACACUGGCUUGGACAGAGACUGGUGGGAUGGGGUUGGCGCUCCAACAGCCCCCCUUAAUUACAACUCCAGUCUCCAUAAAACAAUACCCCCUGUCAUAUGAAGCUUAUCAAGGUAUAAGGCCUCACAUUACGAGGCUUCUAGAUCAAGACAUCCUAAUCCCCUGCCGGUCGCCUUGAAAUACGCCUCUUCUGCCUGUUAAGAAACCCGGCACUGGAGAUUAUAGGCCAGUACAAGACUUGAGAAAGGUCAACAAGAGGAUAGAAGAUAUUCAUCCGACUGUUCCAAACCCUUACAAUUUGCUCAGUAACUGUUCAUCGAUGAGAAACAGGGGUAUGCUAAAGGGUCCUAACACAAAGGUUGGGACCCUAGAAACGCCCUGUGGCCUACCUGUCUAAGAAAUUGGACCCUGUGGCCUCCGGCUGGCCACCGUGCCUAAGGAUGGUGGCUGCUAUUGCUGUCCUGAUCAAGGAUACUGGAAAAUUGACUUUGGGACAGCCACUCACCAUCCUAACACCCCACACAGUAGAGGCCUUGGUAAAGCAGCCCCCAGACCGCUGGCUCUCUAAUUCUCACACCAAGCCUUGUUACUGGAUGCAGAACGGGUUCAGUUUGGGCCCGUAGUCACCCUCAAUCCUGCCACCUUGCUUCCUCUACCAGAGGAGGCAGAACAGCAUGACUGCCUACAAAUCCUCACAGAAGUACAUGGAACCAGGCCGGACCUAUCGGACCAGCCUCUUCAGAAUGCUGACCACACAUGGUACACGGAUGGCAGCAGCUUCUUGGCAGAGGGAGAACAAAAGGCUGGAGCUGCGGUCACUACGGAGGACAAAGUGAUUUGGGCGAAAGCCCUGCCUGCUGGUACCUCCGCACAACGGGCUGAACUCAUCACCUUGACUCAGGCGCUCAAGAUGACAAAAGGUAAGAGGCUAAAUAUAUAUAUACAGACAGCCGUUAUGCCUUUGCCACGGCACACAUCCACGGGGAGAUCUACCAGAGGCAGGAGCUGCUCACAUCUGAGGGUAAAGAUAUGGCUAAAAUUCUGGCCCUCUUAGAAGCCCUAUUCUUGCCCAAAAGACUGAGUAUUAUACAUUGUCCAGGAUACCAAAAAGGGCACAACCCAGAGGCACGAAGAAACCGGCUGGCCGAUGCCACGGCGCGAGAAGCAGCCAUGAGCAAACAAAUCUUGACCUUAAAUAGCCCAGACCAACCCACGCCCCCACCAGUGGGACAAACCAGUUGGGUUUAUGCCCAUGAGGACAUAGAGCUCCUAGAAAAAAAAAUGGGGGCCAUCUACCACCCUCAACUAAAACAGUGGGUCUACAAAGGAAAGACAGUUAUGCCAAUAAAAAUGACUUUUAAAUUGAUCUCCUUUUUACAUAAAUUAACCCAUUUGGGGUUUAAAAAGAUAAAAACCUUACUAGAUCGGGAAGAGAUAAAUCUGUGUUUUUUUUUUGAAUCGAGACAAAGCGAUACAAAAGGUAACUGAGAGUUACAAAGCGUGUGCUCAGGUUAACCUGGGAAGGACCAUGAUUGGACAAGGAGUUCGUCCUAGGGGACACCGUCCCGACAUCCAUUGGGAAAUUGAUUUUACUGAAAUUAAACCAGGUAUAUAUGGAUACAAGUAUCUCCUAGUGUUUAUAGACACCUUCUCAGGAUGGGUCGAAGCCUUCCCCACAAAACACGAGACUACAAAAAUGGUCACCAAGAAGCUCCUCGAGGAAAUCUUUCCCAGGUAUGACAUGCCUCAAGCGUUGGGGUCAGACAACGGGCCCGCUUUCGUCUCCCAAGUAAGUCAGUUGGUGGCCAAAUUGCUGGGGAUUGAUUAGAAAUUACAUUGUGCCUAUAGACCCCAGAGUUCAGGUCAGGUAGAACAUAUGAAUAGAACAAUUAAGGAGACUUUAUCCAAACUUACGCUUGCAACUGGCUCAAAGGAUUGGGUGGCCCUCCUUCCCCUAGUUCUAUAUCGGGCCCGGAAUACCCCGGGCCCCCAUGGUCUAACUCCUUUUGAAAUAAUAUAUGGAGCACCACCCCCAUUUGUCCAUUUCUUUGAUUCAAACAUUGCUGAUUUUGCUGACAGCCCUUCUCUGAGGGCCCAUUUACAGGCCCUACAGAUUGUGCAGAGAGACGUCUGGAGACCUUUGGCCGCUGCUUACCAGGACAAGCUUGAGCAUCUGGUGGUGCCACACCCGUUCCAGAUUGGAGACACCGUGUGGGUGCACAGACACCAGACCAAGAAUCUCGAGCCACGGUGAAAAGGACCCUACACCGUCCUCCUGACUACCCCGACCGCCCUAAAGGUAGACGGAGUCUCGGCUUAGAUCCACACACCACACGUCAAGGCAGUCCGGUCUGAAGAAUUGACUAAUCACAACACUACACCCCAGACAUGGAGAGUUCAACACACUCCAAACCCCUUAAAGUUAAAACUCCUACGUGGCUCCUCCUAGCCCUUUUGUGGCCUAGAGUCAGUGGGGGAAUAAGCCCCCACCAGACAGAAAUUUCUUGACCAAGUCGAGUGAAAGAUUUCACUCAAAGUUAACAAAAAAAAAAAAAUGGGGGAAUGAAAGACCCCAGCUUAGCAACAGUAACGCCAUUUUGCAAGGCUGUACUUAAGAUGACUGGUUCAGGAAAAGGUUAGAACACUGAGUACACAGCGGCUGCCAAACAAGAUGUGUUUGGUUGAAGGCCUGGCAACAGGAGGACUGCCGUUGAGCACCUGACAAUGAAAAAAGCCCCGGGAGAGGUCCCACACCCUGGUGGGGGGCCGAGUCAGUUGUUAUGUUUCAAGAAGGUAGCUUGGAAACUUGCCCCCAGGCUAAACUCUUGGGGGGCCGAGUCAGUUGUUAUGUUUCAAGAAGGUAGCUAGGAAACUUGCCCCCGGGCUAAACUCUUGGGGGGCCGAGUCAGCCGUUAUGUUUCAGGAAGGUAGCUAGGAAACUUGCCCCCGGGCUGAACCCUUUGGGGGCCGAGUCAGCCGUUAUGUUUCAAGAAGGUAGCUAAAAAACAUUAAAAUCCACCAAUGAUAUCCCUAUAACCAUACAUCUGCUUCUGUAUGCUUGCUUCUACUCCCCAAAAUCCUAUAAAAAAGCCCAUCCUUGGUUCUGUGGGGCGCGCCAGUCCCCCGAGUGACUGAAGCGCCCACAGGUGCCUGUGCCUGUGUAUCCCGACAAUAAACCAAAUCCUCUUGCUGAUUACAUCCUGUGGUGUCUCGGUCUGGUCUUUGGAGUUAGAGGAUCUCCAUCCCGAGGGAAAGUUCUCCCUGAGAGCUUUUCAACUGCAGAAGAAGCUUCCUUACCCAUAGCAGCCUGUAGCUGCAUGGAUCAUGGGACUUCCACACGGUUUCAGGGGGCAGCUUGGAACACAGACAUCACCCUGGUCUCCCCGCAGCAGCAUGGACCAUGACAUCAACAUGGCUUGCUUCGGCAGGAAUAAUCACAGACAUCGACAUGGCCUCUGGAGUCAUUCUGGAGAAACUGUAUGCUUGCAGGCUCAUCCUCCCGUGCUACAUCUCGCUCGGAAGCAUCUAUGGAUCUCCCGGGCUCCUUGGCGUGGCCCUGCAGCUUCGUGGGUGCUGGUGGCUGCUGCCACCUUGAACGGGUGUUGGAAAUGCUCCCCACCCCCCUUUUUCUAUUUUUUUUAAGUUGUUUUUCCCUUGAGAUAGGGUCUACUGUGUAGCUAAUGCUGGCCCCGUAACUUGUUAUAUAGACCAAAAUGGCCUUGAAUUCAUAGAGAUCCUUCUGCCUCUGCCUCUGCCUCUGCCUCUGCCUCUGCCUCUGCCUCUGCCUCUGCCUCUGCCUCUGCCUCUGCCUCUGCCUCUGCCUCUGCCUCUGCCUCUGCCUCUGCCUCUGCCUCUGCCUCUGCCUCUGCCUCUGCCUCUGCCUCUGCCUCUGCCUCUGCCUCUGCCUCUGCCUCUGCCUCUGCCUCUGCCUCUGCCUCUGCCUCUGCCUCUGCCUCCUGUGCCACACAACUGGCUAGUGUUUCCCAAAUUCUCAUAUCUCUCUCUUCUCUUCUCUUCUCUUCUCUUCUCUUCUCUUCUCUUCUCUUCUCUUCUCUUCUCUCUCUCUCUCUCUCUCUCUCUCUCUCUCUCUCUCUCUCUCUCUCCUUCUAAGUCAGGCUAUUGCUAUAUUGUUCUGGUUAGCCUGGUACUUACUGUAUGGUCCAACAUACCCUUGGAUUUGUGGUAAUCCCCCAGCCCCAGCCCCCUGAGUGUGAGGAUUACAGGUGUGUCAAACCACACCAGUUCUUCUAUAAUGGCGUAUGCCAGGGCUAGAGAGAUGGCUCAGAGGUUAAGAGCACUGUCUGCUCUUCCAGAGGUCUGGAUUUCAAUUCCCAGCAUCCACACGGUGGCUCAUAACCAUCUGUAAUGGGAUCUGAUGCCCUCUUCUGGCCUACAGGCAUAUAUGCAGGCAGAAGGCUGUAUGCUGUAUACAUAAUCAAUCAAUAAAUAUUAAAAUAAAAAGUAAUAA